UACGUAGGUGACAAGCGUUGUCCGGAUUUACUGGGCGUAAAGAGCGCGCAGGCGGUUCGUUGUGUCGGUGGUGAAAUCCCCGGGCUUAACCUGGGAAUGGCCAUGGAAACUGGCGAACUGGAGUGCGGCAGAGGGGGGUGGAAUUCCGCGUGUAGCAGUGAAAUGCGUAGAGAUGCGGAGGAACACCGAUGGCGAAGGCAGCCCCCUGGGCUAGCACUGACGCUCAGGCACGAAAGCGUGGGGAGCAAACAGG
rnacentral:rRNA from 1 species